AGUGAACGCUGGCGGUAGGCCUAACACAUGCAAGUCGAACGGCAGCACAGGAGAGCUUGCUCUCUGGGUGGCGAGUGGCGGACGGGUGUGGAAUACAUCGGAAUCUACUUUUUCGUGGGGGUUAAUGUAGGGAAACUUACGCUAAUACCGCAUACGACCUACGGGUGAAAGCAGGAGACCUUCGGUCCUUGCGCGAUUGAAUGAGCCGAUGUCGGAUUAGCUAGUUGGCGGGGUAAAGGCCCACCAAGGCGACUAUCCGUAGCUGGUCUGAGAGGAUGAUCAGCCACACUGGAACUGAGACACGGUCCAGACUCCUACGGGAGGCAGCAGUGGGGAAUAUUGGACAAUGGGCGCAAGCCUGAUCCAGCCAUACCGCGUGGGUGAAGAAGGCCUCCGGGUUGUAAAGCCCUUUUGUUGGGAAAGAAAUCCAGCUGGUUAAUACCCGGUUGGGAUGACGGUACCCAAAGAAUAAGCACCGGCUAACUUCGUGCCAGCAGCCGCGGUAA
rnacentral:rRNA from 1 species